rnacentral:tRNA from 3 species
UGCCGCAAUGAGCAUCGGAAGCUCGCCUGUCUCAUAAGCAGGAGGUUGUUGGUUCAACUCCAACUGUGGCAA